rnacentral:rRNA from 1 species
UACGGGGGGAGCAAGCGUUGUUCGGAUUUACUGGGCGUAAAGGGCGCGUAGGCGGCGUAACAAGUCACUUGUGAAAUCUCCGGGCUUAACCCGGAGCGGCCAAGUGAUACUGUUGUGCUAGAGUGCGGAAGGGGCUACUGGAAUUCUCGGUGUAGCGGUGAAAUGCGUAGAUAUCGAGAGGAACACCUGUGGCGAAGGCGACCAUCUGGAAGACAACUGACGCUGAGACUCGAAAGCGUGGGUAGCAAACAGG